GAGUUUGAUCUUGGCUCAGAUUGAACGCUGGCGGCAGGCCUAACACAUGCAAGUCGAGCGGAUGACGGGAGCCUGCUCCUUGAUUCAGCGGCGGACGGGUGAGUAAUGCCUGGGAAUCUGCCUGGUAGUGGGGGACAACGUUUCGAAAGGAACGCUAAUACCGCAUACGUCCUACGGGAGAAAGCAGGGGACCUUCGGGCCUUGCGCUAUCAGAUGAGCCUAGGUCGGAUUAGCUAGUUGGUGGGGUAAUGGCUCACCAAGGCGACGAUCCGUAACUGGUCUGAGAGGAUGAUCAGUCACACUGGAACUGAGACACGGUCCAGACUCCUACGGGAGGCAGCAGUGGGGAAUAUUGGACAAUGGGCGAAAGCCUGAUCCAGCCAUGCCGCGUGUGUGAAGAAGGUCUUCGGAUUGUAAAAGCACUUUAAAGUUGGGAGGAAGGGCAGUAAGUUAAUACCUUGCUGUUUUGACGUUACCGACAGAAUAAAGACACCGGCUAACUCUGUGCCAGCAG
rnacentral:rRNA from 1 species